AUUGAACGCUGGCGGCAUGCCUAACACAUGCAAGUCGAACGGCAGCACGGGAGCUUGCUCCUGGUGGCGAGUGGCGGACGGGUGAGUAAUGCAUAGGAAUCUGCCCAGUAGCGGGGGACAACUUGGGGAAACUCAAGCUAAUACCGCAUGCGCCCUACGGGGGAAAGCGGGGGACCUUCGGGCCUCGCACUAUUGGAUGAGCCUAUGUCAGAUUAGCUUGUUGGUGGGGUAACGGCCUACCAAGGCGACGAUCUGUAGCUGGUCUGAGAGGACGAUCAGCCACACUGGGACUGAGACACGGCCCAGACUCCUACGGGAGGCAGCAGUGGGGAAUAUUGCACAAUGGGCGAAAGCCUGAUGCAGCAAUGCCGCGUGUGUGAAGAAGGCCUGCGGGUUGUAAAGCACUUUCAGUAGGGAGGAAACAGUAGCCGGUUAAGUAUCCGGUUGCCUUGACGUUACCUACAGAAGAAG
rnacentral:rRNA from 1 species